ACAGGGAAGCUACUUGCUGUUCUUGGGGAGCCUGCAGAUGCACUGUAAGAAAUAUUUCUGCUUUAUAAUAAUUUCUCAUACAGAAGAAUCUAAAGCAAAUUAGAUACAACAUUAAAGUUGUGGGAAUGAGGGUUGUACUCAAAUUUUAAAAAAGUGAUACUCGUAGAGAAAAACCUAAGUCAGUGUUUCUCACCUUGGACUUUGCUACAGCUUGGAAUAUGGAUCCAUUUCCUUCAAAUACUAUGUGCUAAGAACUUGGUCUUUUACUCAGGUGUGGUGAAGCACAUCUUCAAUACCAGCACUAAGGAUACAGAUGCAUGAGGAUCGUCUCUGAGUUCUAGACCGUCUGCUGUAUAGUAUGGUUUCAGGACAGCAAGAGCUACAUAGAGAAAAUGUGCAACAAGAAACAGAAAGAAAACAACAUCAUCAACAACAACACCCAGAGAAAAUAAAAACAUUUAACCUCAGUAAAGCACUAGUGAGAAAUGAGAAUUGAAUAAGAAGAGGCUAGUGGGGAAUCCUCAAAUGUAGAGCUGGAACACAGCCCUUCCUCUUCCAACAUUAACUUAGGAGGUCAGAACUUCACUGCACACUCAUGCUUUGCAAACAAAACCCCAGGACCAGAAGCUGAUGCCAAUUUCUCUCUUGGAGUCGUUGCUGCAGCUCUUAAACCACAAUGACUGAAUAUGACUGGUUCUGGCCUUGAGAAAAGCUAUUUUCUGGAGGAAAAAAAUCACAGAAAGAAGUUUGGUACCCACAAAAAGUAUAUAUAUAUAUAUAUAUACAUAUAUAUAUAUAUAUACACAUACAUACAUAUACACAUAUAUACUGAUAUUAUUUAUUUGACAGAUGUAUAUCAUAGUUCACAUGUUAUGUAACAUAUAUUCUAAAUAUACAUACAUACACAUGUAUAUUUAUAUUUAACCAAAAUAGUUAAAUUUCAUUUAUAAAGGAAAAAUCUUAUUUCAUCAAUCAUUGAAUAUACCAAAUUUACUUACCUGUUAAUUUCUCUACUAAAAUAAGUAUAGUAUGCAACUCUUGAAAUAUACUUUCUAAAUCUCAAAUG
rnacentral:lncRNA from 1 species